UGGUUUUACAUAUCAAGACAUGAAAACAAUUAUCUGUUCCUUAGCCAGUCGUAGUAUUAGGUAAAUACAAGCUCUGAUGAACAAAAAUACGACAUAUUACACCGUGUCAUCGUUCAUUUAACAAAAAUAAAGCCAAAAUGGAGAAGUGUGUGAAAAAUGUAGUACACCUUACGUUUCAAUAGCUUGUAUAAUCACCUUUAGCAGCAGUAACUUGAAGUAACUUGUGUUCUGUGUAACUCUAUCAGUCUCUCAUAUCGUUGUGGAGGAAUUUUGGCCCACUCUUCUUUACAACGUUGCUUCAGUUUAUUGAGGUUUGCUGGCAAUUGUUUAUGCACAGCUCUCUUAAGGUUCUUAAGGUUCAAUCCAAUUGCAUUUCAAUUGGAUUGAGGUCUGGACUUUGACUGGGCUAUUGCAACGCCUUGUUUCUUUUCUUUUUCCACCAUUCUGUUGUAGAUAUGCUGGUGUGCAUGUGUUCAUUGUCCUGUUGUAUGACUCAAUUUCGGCCAAGCUUUAGCUGUCAAACAGAUAACCUCACAUUUGGCUCUAAAAUACUUUGGUAUACAGAGAAGUUCAUAGUCAACUAAAUGUAACAUGGUUCCCAGGUCACGUGGCAGCAAAACAAGCCCAAAUCAUCACUAUUCCACCACUAUGCUUGACAGUUGGCAUGAGAUGUUUGUGCUGUGUUUGUUUUUUGCCAAAUGAAAGCACUGUGCAUUAUGGCCAAACAUCUCCACUUUGGUCUCGUCUUCUCGUAGGACAUUGUUCCAGAAGUCUCCUGGCUUGUUCAGGUGCAAGAUGGCAAACCUAAGCUGUGCUACUAUGUUCUUUUUAGAGAGAAAAUAUAUUUUUUAUUCGCAACCAUUCUAAACAAACCAUACUCGUUCAGUCUUUUUCUAAUUGUACUGUCAUGAACUUUAACAUUUAACUGCUAACUGAGGUCUGUAGAGUCUGACAUGUAACUCUUUUUUGUGUGCAAUUUCUCUGGGCAUUGCACGGUCUGACCUUGGGGUGAAUUUGCUGGGAAGAUUAGCAACUGUCUUGAAUGUUUUCCACUUAUGAAUCCUUCUUACUGUAAAAUGAUGGACUUGAAAUUGUUUGGAAACACAAUUGCUUCUGUAAGAUCAUUGCUGAUGUCUUUCUUUCUUGACAUUAUGUUAACACACAACUGAAAGCUCUAGAUCAGAAACUGCUAAAAUGUCGGCUUUUAUAGAGGUGGUUACACUUGCUGAUGACCAAUUAAUCAAGGGCAAUUGAUUUGCAGCACCUGUCUGCUAGUUAGCCGCUUAAUUCCUAUAGAAGCAUUAAGGGUGUACUUCGUUUUUCACAUGUGGCUUCUCCAUUUUGGCUUUAUUUUUGUUAAAUAAACUAUAAGCCCUUAACAGUAGAUGAUGACACAGCUUGCCACUGGGUAUAUUGGGGUAGUAAUUUCAUACCUCCCUUAAUGCGCACAAGUAACUUAUUCUCUCCCCAAACCCAUUUAAUUAUUGUAACACCCUACUCUAUACAUAAAGCUUCAGGUGGGAUUCGACUCUCUUUUAUAGUGCCUAAUGAGAUGUCCCGUGGCCAUCUUUUGAGGCACACGGACUAAACCACACCGGCUAAACAUUACUAGCAACUUUGUGAAACUGGACGUCUGAGUUACCCUUUUCUUUUUCUUUAUUUAGUUUCACAUGCUCUGUUUCUUAAGAAAAAAGCGAACGUCCAAUAUUUCUUAUACAACAUGGUUGUUGUAAGCUACAAGCUUUUGAUUGAUGCUACCGUGCAU